rnacentral:rRNA from 1 species
GUGCCAGCCGCCGCGGUAAUACGGAGGGGGCGAGCGUUGUCCGAAGUUACUGGGCGUAAAGCGCGUGUAGGCGGGUUGUCAAGUCCGCUGUGAAAGCCCGAGGCUCAACCUCGGAGGGUCGGUGGAUACUGACAGUCUUGAAGGUGCUAGGGGGAGAUGGAAUUACCGGUGUAGCGGUGAAAUGCGUAGAGAUCGGUAGGAACACCAGUGGCGAAGGCGGUCUCCUGGGGCAUUCUUGACGCUGAGACGCGAAAGCUGGGGGAGCGAACGGGAUUAGAUACCCUCGUAGUCC